ACAUCGGUAGCACAGUGGGGUUAGUGCAGUCUGCCGGAAACAGAAAGACGCGGGUUCAUUUCCCGUCCGAUGUC
rfam:Nippostrongylus brasiliensis genome assembly, scaffold: NBR_scaffold0002893